rnacentral:rRNA from 1 species
GACGAACGCUGGCGGCGCGCCUAACACAUGCAAGUCGAACGAGCGAGCGAGAGCUUGCUUUCUCAAGCGAGUGGCGAACGGGUGAGUAACGCGUGAGGAACCUGCCUCAAAGAGGGGGACAACAGUUGGAAACGACUGCUAAUACCGCAUAAGCCCACGACCCGGCAUCGGGUAGAGGGAAAAGGAGCAAUCCGCUUUGAGAUGGCCUCGCGUCCGAUUAGCUAGUUGGUGAGGUAACGGCCCACCAAGGCAACGAUCGGUAGCCGGACUGAGAGGUUGAACGGCCACAGUGGGACUGAGACACGGCCCAGACUCCUACGGGAGGCAGCAGUGGGGAAUAUUGCACAAUGGGGGAAACCCUGAUGCAGCGACGCCGCGUGGAGGAAGAAGGUCUUCGGAUUGUAAACUCCUGUUGUGGAGGAAGAUAAUGACGGUACUCAACAAGGAAGUGACGGCUAACUACGUG